AACUGUAUCAAAGACAUCACCUGAUAGUACCUCUUCUGUAUCAAGACAGUCUUUAUCCUUACAUCAGUGUAAUUUGGAAGUAUUCCUUCCUCAAGAAGAUAAUCAGAAAACAUGUGAAUCAGGUCAUUCAGAAUAUACUUCAAGUGUUGAUGUACUUCCUAAUGAGAGCCAUUACCACUCAGAUCAAAGUCCUAAGAGUUUUCUGAGUAAGAUGAAAGAUGCUCCGUCUCCCAGCCCCAUAAAGGAAAAAUUGUCACUUGGUAAUGUGACUAAGAGGAAGAAGUGUGUGUCUUCAGCUGCAGACAUUCUGCAUGUGGCAGAUUUAGAUCACCAAUCAAUUUCAAGUCCAGGAUCAAAUUGGAAUAAUGAGAUAAAUGGUUGUACUAAUGAAACCAGUAAUAACGUGCAAAGAAAUACAGAGUGUUUUCCUGACUUACCUUCUGAGUCUUCCAGUGGUCCUAAUGUAAAGUGCAUGGAACAAGUACAGAAGAACACUGAUACCUUUCACUUGCAGAAAACUGUGUAUGAAGACGCUGACAUGGAGUUAACUGCUACUGACAUAGGCAAGAUUGUAACAAUUUCAAAAAGCAAUAAAAGUCAAAAUAAGAAAAAGGCAGAUUGUAGAAAGGAGACUUUCAGAAAAGUGAAAGGUCCAAGCUCUGAUAGGAAGAAAGAAAGAUCAAAGAGAAAAUGUAAAGCUAGUUCGGAAGGUGCUGAGGGAAAGACUGAAAACAGACCAGAGAGAGGCUCUGGUGUCCUAGAUGGCAGAGGGGAUUCAGAAGAUCCAAACUGUAUUUCCAAUAGUGAACAGCCAUCUCAGGUAAACAUGCAGAAGGAAAUAACCUUCCAGAAGAGCUCAGAUCAGGAGAACGUUCAAAAUCAAAGGAGGAGGCAAACGUAUACGACAGAUGAGCAGGAGGAAACAAACCCUUUCUCCAGAUGUUCAGUCAAAUUCCUUCAAGAUGGUAAAUUUGAUCCGUAUCAGAACACCCUACACUGUGAUUUAAGUAAGCCUUCUCGGCAGACAUUUGUGAUUCAAACAUCAGA
rnacentral:lncRNA from 1 species